UAGUACAUAUUUGGUGGAAUGAACUUC
rnacentral:piRNA from 1 species